rnacentral:lncRNA from 1 species
GACAGAAUAUUUGAGAUGUUAAAGAUACUCAUUGAGGCCCAGCAGGGCCAAGAGGAGAGGAAGGAGCUACCUGACCCUCCUCCACUGCCACAGGUUGAGCCACUACUGUAGUGAGAGGAUCCUGAGCCACCCCGGUACGACCAUGCUCCUCUACAGUACCACCCGGCACCACCGUAGUAUGAUCCGGUGCCCCAACCAUAGUACUGCCCAGCACCGC